GCUGGACAUUUCUGUCCUCACUCCUUCCAAUUUCACUUACUUUACCCCCACUUCAAGGUGUAAGUGUUCACAUCUAAUGUAAAUGGACUUAAGGUUCUCAGCCAAUCCAUGCCCAAAACCAUGUAUGUCAUAGGACCCUAGUUCAAUCACUCUCAAAUAGAAUUCAAAGUUAUGCCCCUGCCCCACUUUAUCCCUAGACAUUUUCCUUCACUAGUCAUCUUUUGUCCAUUAGCAACUGUGAUGAUCAUGGGCAAGGUUCUGGUGAUGAGGAGCUUGUUCAAUUUAGCCACUUGAAUGUCUAGAAAACUAAUGUUGCUACCUAAGGAUUGUAAUUGAUUUUUUCUUUAACUUCCCCUUCAGUUUGAGAGUUUCUGAUCCGGUCCCCUUCCAAUGCAUUUAAUGAGAUCCUGGGCUCUUCUACAGGUUACUCUCCUAAGUGGUGGAUUGACUAUCCUGCUUGUUCUGGAUCUUGAUGGUACGACGGGUAAGACCGAAGAGGCGGGUGAAAAGUACCCAUUAUAUAGGUGAGGCAAGAUAUGCUUGUCCCGAGGUGCUGCUUUCAUCAUUCCCAUUUCAUUCAUCCGUUCAAGUCGGAGCCAACGAUGUAAACCCAGAAGCAUUCACUACGGUCAUUCUCAGGGGGGGCGAGAUUCUAAGAAGAGGGAAGGGACUACAUUCAGUUCAUUAUUAGGAGAGAGUGAAUCUUUCGAUUCUGUCUCCAUCAAUACCAAACACCAAAAAACACUUCAUACUUCUUUCUUCUUUCCAUUUCAUCUCUUUAUCCCGGUAUCAAAUAAUCUCACCGAUCCCUUACUCUUUGAACUCGGACUCCCAUCCAAAGACUAGCUAUUCUUCUUAGCAGUUUCACAAGUGAAUGGUUUGAUUCUUUCCCCUCAGGUCACUUCACUACCUGGAUCCUCAUCUCUUGAACUCGUUCUGGCAGCUAGUUUAAAGGCACGGGCAUCUCGUCUAGUAUAGAUCGAUUUUAUAAGAGCUGCCAGUGCUCUGGUUCAAUUUCUCCAUUUACCAGUAAACUACUGGUUUUCUGCCAAAUGGCUAAACUUCCCCUAGUGCCAGUAGAAAAGUUUACUAUCUAAACUCUAGGUCAUAAAGUAUAGCUGGUGCCUAUACUUUGUAGAAAGAUGGAAAAUUGGAAGAAUUACCCUUGUUCCAAAUACAGCUCAACAAAGACCGCAACCCUUCAACCACCAACACUUGCCCACUCCUAAACUUG
rnacentral:lncRNA from 1 species